CAGUAGCCGCGGUAAUACGAAGGGGGCUAGCGUUGUUCGGAAUUACUGGGCGUAAAGCGCACGUAGGCGGAUCGAUCAGUCAGGGGUGAAAUCCCAGGGCUCAACCCUGGAACUGCCUUUGAUACUGUCGAUCUGGAGUAUGGAAGAGGUGAGUGGAAUUCCGAGUGUAGAGGUGAAAUUCGUAGAUAUUCGGAGGAACACCAGUGGCGAAGGCGGCUCACUGGUCCAUUACUGACGCUGAGGUGCGAAAGCGUGGGGAGCAAACAGGAUUAGAUACCCCUGUAGUCCCUGUCUCUUAUAC
rnacentral:rRNA from 1 species